UACGUAGGGGGCUAGCGUUGUCCGGAAUCAUUGGGCGUAAAGAGCGUGUAGGCGGCCCGGUAAGUCCGCUGUGAAAGUCGGGGGCUCAACCCUCGAAUGCCGGUGGAUACUGUCGGGCUAGAGUGCGGAAGAGGCGAGUGGAAUUCCUGGUGUAGCGGUGAAAUGCGCAGAUAUCAGGAGGAACACCAAUAGCGAAGGCAGCUCGCUGGGACGUUACUGACACUAAGGCGCGAAAGCGUGGGGAGCGAACAGG
rnacentral:rRNA from 1 species